ACGGAACUUCUUUAAUUGACUUCUUCGGAAUGAUUUUGAUUAAGUUUAGUGGCGGACGGGUGAGUAACGCGUGAGUAACCUGCCUCUGAGAGGGGAAUAACAUUCUGAAAAGAAUGCUAAUACCGCAUAACAUAUAUUUAUCGCAUGGUAGAUAUAUCAAAGAUUUAUCGCUUAGAGAUGGACUCGCGUCCGAUUAGUUAGUUGGUGAGGUAACGGCUCACCAAGACCGCGAUCGGUAGCCGGACUGAGAGGUUGAACGGCCACAUUGGGACUGAGACACGGCCCAGACUCCUACGGGAGGCAGCAGUGGGGGAUAUUGCGCAAUGGGGGAAACCCUGACGCAGCAACGCCGCGUGAAGGAUGAAGGUCUUCGGAUUGUAAACUUCUUUUAUUAAGGACGAAGAAAGUGACGGUACUUAAUGAAUAAGCUCCGGCUAACUACGUGCCAGCAGCCGCGGUAAUACGUAGGGAGCAAGCGUUGUCCGGAUUUACUGGGUGUAAAGGGUGCGUAGGCGGCUUUGCAAGUCAGAUGUGAAAUCUAUGGGCUCAACCCAUAGCCUGCAUUUGAAACUGCAGAGCUUGAGUGAAGUAGAGGCAGGCGGAAUUCCCCGUGUAGCGGUGAAAUGCGUAGAGAUGGGGAGGAACACCAGUGG
rnacentral:rRNA from 1 species